rnacentral:lncRNA from 1 species
GCCCUUUAUUUCCCACAAUCAUCCUGAGUUCCUCCUCGUUCACAUCCCUGCACAGACCACGUAAUUCCUCUGCAAGCAACAGGAGGAACAGAAGGAGGAAGAAUAUUCACCUCUCUCUGCUCUGAGGUUCUGGAUCGCUGGAGGCUUCAAUUGCUGCAGAAUUUCUAUGUGGAGGUUAAGCAUUCUCACUACAAACAAAACUCCCAGAUCAACACUGAAAAAGUAUUCCCUAGAACAAAGUGAGGAAUCCCAGGGAAGAUGGCAAUAAUCAAAUGCCCACAAACUAGUUGAAUUUCGGAAUUCUCAUGUGCAUCUCAAUGCAAGUGUUUGAAGUACUUCCCAAAUCACUCUUUUUCCUCUCUCCAACACACCUAAUUUCUAAUGGUGUAGAAAAUGUGCUUCCACUGUGAAUCAAACAGGUCUGGACCAAAGUUAGGGCUGCCUGGCCGGGGUGAAAGCGGGUGGCACUCGAGUUUGCUGUUCUUGGAUGUAUUUUCCUGUCAAUCCGUGCGUGCGCUGCACGGGGAGCCGGGCACCAACACGCUGCUGCAGGGCCCGUGUGAUUCCUCCUGUGCCACAUGCGGAGAAGGGAAGGGAAACGUUCAAUAACUGCAGCUCCAUGGAAAGCUCCCGUUGGCUACUCCGCAGGAGCGCAUUCCCAAUCCUCCCGGCGAACUCGGGCUGCAGAAGCCCUGGACCGGGAGAACGAGCACUAGAGGGCACAGCGCGACCAGCGACGGGCUUUGGCGAGGGGGAGGCAGAGCGCGGCUGGCUCUGAGCUGUCUUCACCCGUGAGACUCCGAGUGGCUCCUUAAAAUGGCACCUUUCGGAAGCUGCUGGGAGGCGAGGCCCUGCAGAAGUUGUGGUGCACUGGAAUUAUCGAGAGCGUGUAGGACAAGAGAGCCAGCAGCCUGGAGCAGGCAUUCCGAGCAGGCUUUUCCAGGAACUGUCAGCAUUCAGAAUGCCACCUCACGAUUUCUGGGAAGCAUGACUCCCAGCUCGCUCUGCAGAAAGGUAGACAGUGCUCAGAUUAUAUAUAGCAGCAAGUGGGCUGGGAGGAGAAACACUGGGCUGCACAGAGAGGGAGGCUGCUCUGGAGAAAGCCAGGGAGUGUCUUAUGGUGCAGCACAAACCAGUGGCACCUGGCGAGUGGAGCUGGGCCAGCGCUGGCCUGCGGGCAGCUGGCACUCAUGGAGUGCAGGAGAGCCCUGGGCAGUGCUGGGGCAGGUUGGGUGCACGCAGAGUGAUCCCUUGCUCUCAGCUCUUCUUCAUCCUGUUUCAUCCUCCACUAGCCCAGAUUGCUCCAACCCCAUCCAGCCUGGCCUUGGACUCCCAGGGAUCUAGGAGCAGCCACAGCUUCUCUAGGAGCCUUGUGCCAGGGCCUCCCCGCCCUCACAUGGAACAAUUCCUUCCCAAAAUCCCAUCUAAACCUCCUCUCUUUCAGUUUAAAGCCAUUAAUGACUCAGCCCAUUUGUUGAGAGUCCUUUAAAUAAUGAUGUCCACAUCUCCACUGGCUCAUUCCAGUCCAUGCCAGACCUUUGCCUGUAUCAGCCUGUGAGCCACAGAUUCCUCCAGCUCUGAAUGGUUCCCUCUGUCCUCCUGUCCUACAUGUAUGGGCUCUUUAUUCUGACCACAGGCCCUGUUCCGUCAGCCCCGGGGCAGGGGUUUGGAAGGAGAAAUCACCAUUUCAGUCCACUGGUGUCAGGAGGGGGCUGAGCUCUGCCCUGUGAACUCUGG